ACAGGCCCGACGCGGGCCAAAGUAUAGUAUCUGUUCUUAUCAGCUUAAUAUUUGAUACGAGUUCUAUGUGGACCCAAGAUUUUAAACUUAUGUUUCCAAGCUGGCGCAGUGCUUGAAGCCUGCAUCGACCGCCUCCGCCGCGGGUCGGCCCGGUAUUGCACUAUCUCCGGGAUCGGCGCAUGGCUC